rnacentral:rRNA from 1 species
UUCGCAAUGCCCGAAAGGGUGACGAAGCGACGCCGCGUGCGGGAAGAAGGCCUUCGGGUUGUAAACCGCUGUCGGGAGUUAAGAAAUGCAAGGGUGUUAACAGCAUCCUUGCUUGACUAAGGCUCCGGAGGAAGCCACGGCUGACUCUGUGCCAGCAGCCGCGGUAAUACAGAGGCGGCAAGCGUUGUUCGGAAUUAUUGGGCGUAAAGAGCACGUAGGCGGCUGUGUAAGUCGGUUGUGAAAGCCUUCCGCUCAACGGGAGAACGGCAUCCGAUACUGCAUGGCUUGAGUGCGGGAGGGGAGAGUGGAACUUCUGGUGGAGCGGUGAAAUGCGUAGAUAUCAGAAGGAACACCGGCGGCGAAGGCGACUCUCUGGCCCGUAACUGACGCUGAGUGUGCGAAAGCUAGGGGAGCAAACGGGAUUAGAUACCCCGGUAGUCCUAGCCGUAAACGAUGGGCACUAAGUAGAGGGGUUUUA